CCUACGGGUGGCUGCAGUGGGGAAUUUUGGACAAUGGGGGCAACCCUGAUCCAGCCAUUCCGCGUGAGUGAAGAAGGCCUUCGGGUUGUAAAGCUCUUUCGCAAGGGAAGAAACGAUACAGACGAAUAAUCUGUGUUAAUGACGGUACCUUGAUAAGAAGCACCGGCUAACUACGUGCCAGCAGCCGCGGUAAUACGUAGGGUGCGAGCGUUAAUCGGAAUUACUGGGCGUAAAGCGUGCGCAGGCGGUUUUGAAAGUCAGAUGUGAAAUCCCCGGGCUCAACCUGGGAACUGCGUUUGAAACUCCAAAGCUAGAGUAUAGGAGAGGGGGGUAGAAUUCCACGUGUAGCAGUGAAAUGCGUAGAGAUGUGGAGGAAUACCAAUGGCGAAGGCAGCCCCCUGGCUUAAUACUGACGCUCAUGCACGAAAGCGUGGGGAGCAAACAGGAUUA
rnacentral:rRNA from 1 species